ensembl:ncRNA lncRNA:CR43148 long non-coding RNA:CR43148
AUUAAUAAAUUUAAAGGAGGGACAAACGUGCUGAUCGUAAAUAAUGCUAUUUAAUUUAAUUACAUAAAUGGACAAUGUCCAGUAAAAAAGUAAUUGCGAACAACGGAAUUAAAACUGUAAGGAAGGUGGCUGCUCUAUUGUUUGGAAAACAGUUAAAUAGCUGUUUUCUGUUUACAAAACAUUCCAAUAGCAAACAUUUUGCAAAAACCAGAGCAGACUUAAAAACGAAAUCAAAAGAUUUGGCCACGAUUUGCUACGAUUAACGCAGCAUUACUGAUAGAAAUUAACAAAACAAGCAGUGAAAUAAAAAGACCCCAAAAAAAUGUCGAAACUGUGGGCAUGACAAUAUGCUCUGCGAAGGAAAAUAAAUUGAACAUAAAAACAACAGAGAAUGCUAUAGUCUAGAAAUUGGCAAGACAAACCAAACUUGCGCUGCGUCUGUGUCUCUAGAAUCUGUAUGCUUAAUCUCAACGCAGCUUUUAUAGUUCCUGAAAUCUCGACGUUCAUACGGCCGACAAAAUAUCUUAUAAAAUACAUGCUUAAUAAUAUGAGUACGUAAAUAUUUUCUUACCUGCGUUGCAAACUUAUGAAUAAAAUCAAUCAUGUUUAAAAAGAUUUCCACUCCUACAAGCCGACAAAAAAUCGCGCGCCCACACCUUUGAUAAAGAUUUUUGGCAUUUAUUUUUUUUGGCUAGACUAUUGAUUCUGACAAAAAAUAAAAAAAAAAACGUUACCUGAUAAAAUCUUUUCAAAUAAUCUUGUCUACGGAUAAAGGGUAAAAUAGGGUAAAGACUAGUAUAAAUUGGUAUCCAGAAGGAUUGGAAGAUGGAACACUUCCCAGAGAUUUAUCGAAAUUAAUUUUGCAGAAACAACUGGGAAACAACUGUCAAAUACUUGGGUAUCUAUCACGUUAGACAAUAGGCUAAAAUUCAAAGAUCACAUAAGUGACACAAUCGAACAACUUAAAGCCAUUAUCUGCUCGCUUUAUCCAUUUAUAAACAUAAAUUCCAGAUAAAACAUUGAAAACAAAAUGUUCUGUUCAGGUCAAUCUUCCAAGCACUAUCUUUUUACGGUGCUCCAGUAUGGUCAGAAAUGGCCAAAUGUCACAUUAACCUGCUACAAAUCAGACAAAACAAAAUAUUAAAACUAAUCUUUAAUCACCCUUGGCAUCACUCAACAGCUCAUUUACAUAACCGAGCCAAUAUUGAAGUGGUUUAUAAUAGAUUAAUAAGAUUGUCCCAAAAUUUCUCUAUUAAAUGUCAAGAGGCUGUGCACCAGCAUAUAAAUGAUUUGACCUAUCCACCUUAAUUGUAAUUUUUAGAUAAUAGCCUUUUUUAAGUGCUUAGAUUUUUUUUCAAUUACAUAAAAUUUUUUUCCCAAUCGGUAUAAUAUUUUCAUUAUCAUAUUAUUCAUAUUGAUAUUAAUAUCUAAGUAGAUAAGGUUUAAUUAUUGGCCUGUACUCUUAUUAUUGUUAAGGUUAAAAUAAAAAAAAAUUGGAUGUCAUUAAGCGUG